rnacentral:rRNA from 1 species
GACGUAGGAUGCGAGCGUUGUCCGGAUUCAUUGGGCGUAAAGAGUUCGUAGGCGGUUUGUUAAGUCUGAUGUUAAAGAUCGGGGCUCAACCCUGGGAGUGCAUUGGAUACUGGCAGACUGGAGUGCAGUAGAGGCGAGUGGAAUUCCCAGUGUAGCGGUGAAAUGCGUAGAUAUUGGGAAGAACACCGGUGGCGCAGGCGACUCGCUGGGCUGUAACUGACGCUGAGGAACGAAAGCUAGGGGAGCAAACAGG